rnacentral:rRNA from 1 species
CCUACGGGAGGCAGCAGUGGGGAAUAUUGGGCAAUGGGCGCAAGCCUGACCCAGCAACGCCGCGUGAAGGAAGAAGGCCCUCGGGUUGUAAACUUCUUUUCUUCGGGACGAAACAAAUGACGGUACCGAAUGAAUAAGCCACGGCUAACUACGUGCCAGCAGCCGCGGUAAUACGUAGGUGGCAAGCGUUAUCCGGAGUUACUGGGGGUAAAGGGCGUGCAGCCGGAGCAACAAGUCAGAUGUGAACUCCACGGGCUCAACCCGUGAACUGCAUUUGAAACUGUUUCCCUUGAGUGUCGGAGAGGUAAGCGGAAUUCCUUGGGUAGCGGUGAAAUGCGUAGAUAUAAGGAAGAACACCAGUGGCGAAGGCGGAUUACUGGACGAUAACUGACGGUGAGGCGCGAAAGCGUGGGGAGCAAACAGGAUUAGAUACCCGGGUAGUC